rnacentral:rRNA from 1 species
AACGUCUCAGUUCGGACUGUGGGUCUGCAACCCGACCACACGAAGCUGGAAUCGCUAGUAAUCGCGAAUCAGAAUGUCGCGGUGAAUACGUUCCCGGGCCUUGUACACACCGCCCGUCACACCAUGAGAGUCGGGAACACCCGAAGUCCGUAGCCUAACCGCAAGGAGGGCGCGGCCGAAGGUGGGUUCGAUAAUUGGGGUGAAGUCGUAACAAGGUAGC